UUAAAAAGAAAACGAAUUCUUAUACCUAUUUAAAAAAAAAACCCAAAAAAACAACAACCCAAACACAAAACAGUUCUUCUGCCUUUUGUGAGAGUCAUCUGCAACACACAGCCAUGGAGAGUCUGUCCCCUGUGUGUGCUGAGUGCUGGUAGAAGCCAGCAGCAGUUCCAGGCAGGUGCUGAUUUUCACUGGCUUCCCAAAGGGCCUAGGAUUCACUGUGGAGUCCCAAAUAACAACAUCUUGUUCCCUGAUACAGCCAACAACAGCAAGUUUGAGGGAUUCGUAACUCAUGACCAGUGCUGCAAAUACAGCGUUCCUGACACCCACACCUGUUCUUUGACCCUUCACGGUGCCUGAAACAUGACAGGCAAGUACAAAAAUUAAAUUCCGUAUUAAGACAUAAAUUAUUACUUUAUUAUAUUAAAAUGCUAGAGGUUAGUACACAUUAAUUGAGAACAUUAGUCAUGCCAAGGUAAAAAGUUUUAUGAGAGGAUUAACAAAAAUACAUAGGAGCAGCCUGCACAGGGCUCAGGAGGUCUGAAUUCCUGGCUCCUCAACAACGUUCUUGCCUAGCUGUAGGCAAUUCACAUAUACCAACACCACUGCUAUAUUUGCAGACACCACACUCUUGGCGUAGAAGGGCAGGGAAAAGCCCAAUCUUGCUGCUAUGCCAGCAGAGAUCAGUAUCAAAAUAGCUCAGCAGGCAGACCCACCAGGUCUAGGCCUUGUUCCUCCAAACUGUUGCAGGUUGCUGUACCUGACAGCUGGCAGCAGUGUUCUCAGUGCUGGCAGAGAGGGGAAUCCAGCGAGCUGUUCCCUCCUGGGCACAGGGCAGCCCUGCUGGGGCACCAGCCGGCCAUGCUGUAGCUGCACGAGGGGUGAGGCUGCACACAGGCAGCAGCAGCAGGCAGAGGAUGCAGCUUCUCAAGACAGACAAACCCCACUGGAGUUUCAGUGCCUUACUUCUGACACAGGACAACAGUACCAGAUUUUCUACCCAAAAUAUUGUAAAGGAUAAGGGGACUUUAUUCAAUACUGUCCAGAAAUAAGCAGAUAUUCUGGCAGCCACACAGCAAUACCUCUGACCAACACAGGCUUCCUUUGGAUCUGCAGCACUAUUGCUUUAUGUGCCAAUCAAAACAUUUCUGUGCAAUAACACUAACACAGCUCUUUAUCUAAUUGAUCUACAAAGAACAAGCAUCUGUACUUCCCAAAAUAGGUAAAGAAAGUGCUUACCUGAUGGAAAGACUUUGCUGGACAGACGAUGAUGACAACAGGUGCCCAGAGAUGAGUGGAAAGAUGAGAUGUGCCAGAUGCAGCAAUUCACCUCUGGCACCUGUGUUUGUCUACUUGCUUUGCACGUGCAGGGUGCAACAUCUGUCUCUGAUGAGUAACUGUGGGGAAGUUACUUAAACUUCUCAGUUAUGCUUUGUGUCAUCUAAAAGACUGGAAAAUCGUAAUUCCUAAAAGCUGACACUAAUAUCCCACAACUAACCUUUCUCCUGCCUUUCAACAGACAACUCUGCUGCCAGCAGUCAGUUUUUACCAUCUCCUGGAUAUUCUUCACUGGAAUUUGAGACAUCAACAAAUGCUAACAAAUCUCAUUAUUUGAUGCAUUUAUUGAGAGUUGAUACAUCAGCAGAUGAAGCCUAGAAACCAAUCUGCAGGACCCUAAGAAACAUUCUAAUCUGAAGUGACAUUCAGGGAGCGGAAUCCUAUCAAAUUUUGAAGUGAUGUGGGUAUGGAUUUGUACCAGCUUUAGGCAGGGUGAAAAUCUGACUUUGUUUUUAAUUUACUUUGCUUAAACUUUGUUUCUUAAAAAUCCUUUAAGAUUCUGUUGAUGGCCUUUUUUUUGUGGUGGCAACAUCACAUGAAAACCAGCUAUUUAUUCCUUGAGGGUUCCCCCUACCCCCACCUGAUUUGGGAAGAGCAGCAGUAUGGGGUUUUUUUGAUUUAUAUGGAAAGAGGAAACCACCCUGGGCAAAAAAGUCUACAGUCAGCAGAAGCAGCACUUUGUCUUCAAAGACUUAAGACACAAGGCUCCCAAAUGAUUAAUGUUUCUAACCCACAUUUUUCUUGCAGAUGUGAUUACAGAAGAGAGUAUGAAGGGGAAAUGAUUUUUAAAUAAAUUGUUAGAAAUGUGUAUAUGUACUUUCAUAGCAAGGCAUGAAACAACAGAAACCAAUUUUCUUUGUGGUUUUAAAAUACUAAAGUCAACAAUUACAAACUCAGACACCAAAGUGUUACAAUGUUAAUACCUUGUCAUGAAACUAGAUAUUCUGCUUUCUUAGAAAGUUACAAUACUUGCCAAGCUGGAAAAAACCAACCCAUCAACAAUUUAUUACACAACCACAUAUUAACAUAAAUAGCUAAAGUCAGAUUCCACACUUGAAAAAUUGACAAAUACUGUCAAAUAUAACAACAUUUACUUUGCAUUGCUUUUAGCUAUGGAGUAUCACAGACUUCAAGAAAUUUUAGAACAUCCAGAAUGGCUGUGGUAGCCAGGUCCCCAUUUCCUAGUCUCCUGCAGUACCUUUGGAAGUAGAUGGGAAGACUUCCAGUCGUCAAUCAUUAUUUGAAUUUAGAUAAACAAAAUGAGAUUGGCAUGGGAGAGAGUCUAUUUUGGAUUUUAAACACAUCUUUUUCAUGCAUAUGAUAAAGGACAAGAAAGAGCUUAAAUUACCACACACAAGCCAGAUAUGAAAUGAUGAAAUUAAUUUGAACAAUCAUCUGUGAACAUCUAUGAUAAACCAUGAUGACAUCAGGGUUUCUCCCUCCUCUCUCAAUCGCAAGGUACAUGAUUGCCUUGGAAAACAGUUGUUAAAGGAGCAACAAGCUUUAACAUCAGCAUCUUUCAUGGCAGAAAGCUCUUUUAAACUUGUUUCCUAUGUGCUUGAACUGAGUACAGCCCCAACUGUACUCAGAUACUGACAGACACAAAGCAGCUGGGUUUUGAAAGCACAUUCACUCAUCUGCCUGUGCCUCUGACUACUCAUAAGGUUUUCAACCUUGUCUUCAAAAGCUGCCUUCAGCCUUGUAAUUCACUCUUCAUUUUUCUUAUACAUUCCUGGUUGGGUGAGUUCAGGAGGAAGGAAUGUAGAACCAAAGAUAGACAUAAGCUUACUGCAAAGCUUUGCUCAAUAAAACCUGUUGAUUGCAGCCUAAUUCUCAUCUUGUCGGGCACUUUUCCUGCACAAAGUUUAAAAAAACUAUCCCCCCAAGUUAAAUAUCCUUGCCAGAUACAUGGGGUAAAUGUACAAAGUGUCAUAUGCACUGUCAGCAGCACACACGAGCUAAUGCAGCACAACACAUGAGUGCUGCCCCCACACACAGGACAGGGACCUCCACUGCCACCAGGAUCUCAAAAGGUGACCCUGAGUAAACACCAAAUUUGAUAAACUCCGUACUGGAGCGUGAUCUCAUGUCCCACAACAAUACCUGCAAGAUAAGACUUGUCCUUUCGAAGGCUUGUGAAGGAACAAAAACUAGCCAUUAUCUCAUAGAGCCAGCUGAGAAAAGAGAGAGACUGAGCACAGAUGUCAUACACUCAUACAUAUUUUUCCACACACUAGGGGGAUAAAAAAAUAAAAGUACACUGACAAAGAAUGUUUGCUGGUGUGGGGAGGGCACUGACAUGUUCCUGUUUUGCUCUGUUUUAAAGGGAAAACUCCCUGUUUGUCUUACCAAAAAAACCUCAAAAAUCUUGUUGAAAAGUUUUGUGGAAAACAUCUACAGCCAUUUUUACUGAAAGUAAAACUCAGGUUUCCAGCCAUCUCUCUGAAGUAGCCUUUAGUAUUAACAGAUGUCUUGUUGGAAUCUGCCUGAGCCAGUGAACUCAUUCUGAAUGGACACCAAAAAAAGUGCAGAAUUUUUACUCCAUAUAAUCUGAACGUUAAGUUGCUUUCUCCCAGACUUUAUGGAUUUGACUUCUAUCAUGCAGUUAUUAUUUUAUCUUCAAGAAGCAAAAUCCUCAAAUGCAGAGCACAAAAGCCUCCCAGUCAAUGUAAUUUGCUUUUCCAGAUCUAUAGCUUAGCUGUAAGUAGUACUGAAGUGCGGGAAGUAGGUAUUUGGUCUGGGUUAUAAAUAGGAGACAUUUCAUUUGGUGGUGUACAGGCCUUGCUUAUAAUAGCAGCAGCCUUGAUGGCUGCAGCUUUGAGUUCAUUAAUUCAGUCAGAAGAAGGCACUGAAGAUCCAAAGCAGAUAAUUAGGACAGAGAUAGCCAUCCCAGCUGUUAAUUUAAGCAAUUACUGCAAUAUAUAGUGGUUUAUAUUUCUGCCUGUACUUUCCUUUGGUCUUUACAGACUGUUCACAGAUAUAAAUACACCCCUCCUUCCAUAUCGACUGUUUUACAUGAAGUUUGCCCAUAUUUACACCCAUUGUUACACACUGUGAGGCAGUCUUGACAAAGCCAGACUGUAACUGCACAAGUCUCUAGCAUUCCUUCUCCUCUUGCCAAUUCUCCAAGUCAUACAACAUUUUUAAAGUUCAUAAAUUCUAAAUAAAGGAGAUUAAGGAUUCCAAAUUCUAUUCUGUGCUAAAAACAGCAAUCAAUAAUUGUCAAGACUAUAAUAGUGCCUUUAGGCUCUCUAGGCCAUUAUUCUCUACACUAGCUUUUCUCUUUUUUUGGUAAAGAGACAGUUUAUAAUAUUUUCCAGUAACUGCUGCAUCAGAGUUUUGGUACAGUUAGUGCAUUCAAAUGAUCAUACCAAAUUAGGUAUGCUUCUCUUUUGAAACAGAACAAGGUUUUUUGUUAUUAAUACUGAAACUCUUUGAAGUAACACAUGCAUGUAUACAGCACAGUACUGAAUAAUUUCUUAAAACAUCAGAGAAAUGCAAUACCUGUAUACUUGAAUUAUAACCACAAUUCCCAUGAAUUUUAACCUCUUUUUUUUCCAGAUUUUAAUUUUUUUCAAUAGGAAAAUUAUCCUCUGUGCAGUCAUUUUGACAGUCAUAUUUAUUACAAAAGUUUAAUGUCUGUUUGUAGCAAAUGUGAGAAUGGAUUCAGGAUCGACCUUGUAAGUGUGCAGAAAAUGGGCAGGGAAUGUUUAUCACAGUAUUUUCCACUUUUAUGAGGAUGCAGUUGGUUAUUAUGACAAGGUGAAAGGUCUCAAUGCCUUCAUUUUUAGGCCACAGGUGUUCUUUGUAGAGGUUUUUUUUUUAAUAAAGAGUAUUAUUAGUCCUUUAAAUUAGCUCUUAUUGAAAGUUACCACAUCUGUGUUAUGUGGUAAUGAAGCUGGGGGAGGAGGUCAUAGCAGGGGACUUGUGCUUGAAGAAAACAUCUGGGUAUUGCUUUGACAUUCACUAGCAACUUCUUUUAUUUUAUUAAAAAAGUAAGGAAAUUAUACUGAAAUCAACUGCAAGAUGCAAACAAUAAAUGAAAUGAAAAUACAGGAUCUAAAAAAAUAAAAGGUUGGAACAAAAAACACCUUUCCCUUCUCUUGCUCCCCUCCCAUGAAUACCAACUGCUGAGAUUAAUUACAUGGGCAAAUGGCAACAUCAGUUAAAAAAUAGCUCAACCAAUACCUACCACAUACACUACAGUCUUUCUAUCUUUCAGAGGAGGAGCUACUGUUUUAAAUAAAGCUUUUUGUUGUAUUGAACCCUUUUUUGGCUGUCAUUCUAUUUACUACAUCAUUUCAGAGACAGGUACAGUGACCUUAGGAAGUCCUCUAGAUAGGCAUUUUUUUCCUCCACUUCCCCCAGCUGAUAAAAGCAGAGACUUUGUUUCCUGUGCACAAUUACACCUAUCACAGGAACAAGGAAAACAAAAUUUUAUUUUCAACAAAAGGAGGAUUUAAAAGCCAUCAAAAUCCUCAAGUGGAAGUUGCUGAGUAAUUGCAUGAUGGUUCUUAAUUGUCAAGGCUGAUAACUAUGUUUAGGAACUACUGCAUUAAGAAACUUGGCAGAGUCAGAUGAUGUUCAGCUCCAUGGCACACACAGCCAAGGAUGUUUAUAGGGCAGUGGUUAUAGUAUGCCUCAGAAACCCUAAACAGCAGCAUACCCAUGCUCCCUGUAUUUUCUUGUUCUACGUCCUUGCUUACAAAUGCAAAUGACAUUUCUAGUCUACUUAAGUUCUUACACCACUCUCAGCCCUGCAGUAAUUGAGGGUGUUACUGUACCACAGCAAUUGGUCAUUUGUUUCCUCAAGGAGGGAAGCACAAAGGUAUCAAUCCACUGUUUUAAUGCAAGUUUUCUGUUCUUACAAAUCUUGGCUUUAAUAUUAAGAACUUUUCAUUGACACCUUCAGAACAGUGUAUACUCCCUGCAAACUUACAUCUGGUCACAAAGCCCAUCCGAGUUCUAUGGGCCUCUAAAUAUAUUUGGUUAUAUUUGGUUAUAGCUGCAUGAAAUUAUUACAGAUGAGCUACACCCCAGCUUGUCUCUCCCCUCUAAAAUCACAAUCACUGACAACAAAGUUCACAAUACUGUAUAACAAUAUGCUCCAGAAAAAAAACUUUCAAUGUGAAUGUGACAUGCAAAUAUUAAGACAGGACACCAGACUUCUUUUUUUUUCCCUUCCCAAUGGGUGUUUUAUUUUAUAGCAUUUGCAUUAGGUAAUCAACUGAAACACUUAAACAACAGAAAGCUGGCAGCACAGUGAGGAAGAAUGGAGAUCAUUUCUCAAACAGCCGUGACAAAAUUGUUUCAAGUUGGAAUAGUAUUGCACAAAUGAAUCAAUUUACUGAGGGUGAGUGGGAGCAAGCAUCUUCAACAUGGAUUGUGAGGAAAAAAGGCACUAUUUAGCUGUGUGUGUGUUUAAAAAGAAAAAGGUCAUGAAGCACAAUCCAUGUUUUUCAAAAUUACAUUCAGUACUGCUUUAGAAAUGCUCACAAACCUGUCUCUUUUGCAGAAGCUAUGGAAAGCUGCUGAUGUAAGUAUCAGACAGUACAAGUGUACAAACAUUUAUAAUUAUGCUCCAGAAAAGUCUCAGGAAGAGAGGCUCUUUCUAUAAAUACUGCUGCAAAGGUUACACAGUUGCAUAGGCUUACAGUAAAGGAAGCAUCCAUCCAACUAAGCAGCCUUAAACUUUAAGUUUAAUCUCUAGUAGUCAUAAAAUACGCUCUAAUUUUGAAGAGCUAGAUUGGCAGUGCAUUUGAAUCAGGCUUUUUUUCCAUUGUCUGCUUAAGCAGCACAGUUCAGACAGUAUCAUCCACACACUUUUUUGUCACAUACGCCUUUAGCAACACCAGGUAAAGCUUAAUGGAAACUUUUAACAGAAGUGUGAAAGAAAAUAACUGAAUUUUUCCCAAUAUAAGAUAGAAUUACUCUGAGAACAUCAAAAAGAAGAAGUUUAUUCCUGUAAUGUAAAAAUAGCUAGGUAUCUUCAGAAAAACUAAAUACCAAAAAAAGGCAUUUCAAAUGACCAGGAUGGCUGGUUCUCCAUCUCCUACAUUGUAUAGCUAUAAAUUUUAAUGUGUGUUUGAAAAUGAAGCCAUGAUCAGCAUACCAAUAAAAGAGAGACUGCUAGAAAAUCCAUCCAGAACAAGCAGUAAUGUGCACAGAGGACAUUCUGCACCCUAGCCUUGGGUCUUUUUAUAGAUGCACUAACAAAAUAGAAGUGAAAUUCUUGUUGCAUGGCUGCAGAAUUAUUAAGGGAAGGAGCUAAAACCGUUGUUGCUCUCCCACCAGCACUGCCCAGAGUAUCACAAGUGCCCCAGGCAUGCUGUGGGUACGGCUGUGUACUCACCAGCGCAGCAGGACCUCAUGCCUCGUGCUGACAUCAAGAGUUUCAACAGGGCUAGAGGCUUGCACAAAAUCUGGGAGGUACUUUUGUACAGAAAGUACAGAACAGUGUAACAAAUCUACUCUCAACUAUAUGUAGAUAUAUGAGCAUUUCAGCACCUUUCAAAUGAACUUAGCCCUGCAAAAAGCCAAUCUCAUUCCUCUAAGAGGGUACAGUGACUUCAGUUAAAAGAUCUGUGUUCAGGAGGCUGCAUAGUAGUUUACUGAUCAUACAACCUGCAAAAACAAAAAUUCACAGAUUGCUGCUUUCCUCUCUAAGUCAUUAAGGGAAAAUACAUUAGAUAAAUCAUUUUUAUAUACCGUAAAAUAUUUUUAAUGGCAACAAGUCGGAUUGUUUCUAUUUCCAAACAGAAGAUGAAUAGAACAGAUUAUUAAAAAUCUGUAAAGCUCUUUUCCUAAACUGUCUUUUAGGAAAUCCAGAUCGUUCUAAAUUCAAAUUAUUCCAAGUUCACAGUUGUCUUUAAUGGUUGCACUACAUAUAAAAGUAGACAGUCUUGGUUCUUCCUGUGUUCUACAGAUGAUCACAUUUUGUGAGUACAUCUGGAAUGAGUACUGCUCCAAUUGUUACUAACAUUUCUAAAAAAUAUUCCUAAAAUUCUUGUCUCAACCUUGACAGUUCACAGCAAAGAAGAGGAAGUGAUAUCUGAUUAAAUAAAAUGUGUUAUCUUACAUGAACUAUGAAAAAUAUAUUGCUCUUUUGAAAGUAAAAAAAAUUGCAUUGUUCUAUUGGUUUUGUUAUUGGAGACUCGUAAUUAAGAAAAUCUAAAUCCUGGAAAAAAAGAAAAGUAACUUUCAAAACUGCUUACAGAAUAAAGAAGCUUCUGUAGACCCUACUGAAAUCAGUAGAAGUUUUGUCUAUUGUUUUCUUGUCAAUAGAGAAGCAUUUGUCUACAUACCUAUAUCAUUACGUAGAUGACUAUUUUGCAUUUUCACUUAGCAAGCUCUUCAGCUCUCUUAGAGGUGCUCUGCUGAAAAUUCUGAAGGAGAUUCAAGAAGGUAAACUAAUCUGAAUUAUUCUGAAGGAGAACAACAUAGUAAAAAAAUUCUACUAUAAAACUAUCACUGAGUGGAAAUCUUUCCUGGGAUUAUAAAUAUUUACUUUUUUUUAAAAAAAAGUGACUGCUUUUAAAUGAAAACUUUUAGAUCUCCAUUAACUACUUUUUGUGUUUGACUCCUCAGUUCCUUUCAUGAGCUAGGAAACAUGUCUUCAUGUGUGACCUAACACAUCCUAUAUCCAAACAUGUUGGCAUUAUUAUUGAUGGCAACAGACAAGAACUAGAACAGGAAGGCUUAUGCAUGGUUCAUGCUAUAUAAAUGGUAACUUAUGAGAGGGAACUUCCCUGAUUAUUUGGGAAGAACAAAGAGAGAUCUAUUUUUAAAAUCAGAAGGGAAAAAUCUAAGAAAACAAAGAAACUGCAAGAUGUACUUGAUAGUCUCCUGUUAUCCUCUCUGUAAUUGGGCUGUUGCUUUUGGCUGCAGACAUCCAGUUCACAGACCAUUUUCCAUUUCCUUUGUUUUCAUUACAAGAACAAGCUGGUUAAAGAAACUCCACUCAGUAAUUUUAAACUAAACCUUCAGCAUCAUACUGUAGGAAUUUAAACAUUUCCCACCAUUCCCUUCUUUAUCUCCUAAGCGCCUUCCCAAUCAAAUCCUGUGAAAAGCACUUUUAAGAAAAGGCAGGUGGAAGUUGUGUAAAUAUUCAUAUCUUUAAGAAAAUUCAAUAUGAAAACUUCUUGCAGUGCUCCACGGCCAUUUGCUAUAAUGCAGUGGCCUCAAACAUCUGUUCUCAAAUUUCAGUUUACUUCAUCUGCCAGGUGUUUCACAUUGUUAAUAAUGGUAACUCACAAAUUUACAACAGUCACAUAAGGCAGUUACAUAAAUACAAUUAUGUCAAUCAAGUUCACUGCAUCUUUCCCAACUAGACCGCCUAUGACAUUUUUCUUCUUGCUCUCUUAUCCUAAUAAAUGGAUGAAGACUACAUUUCUGUAAAGAGAAUCCCUGGAAAAUAUUCUGGUAUUGAAGUCAGAGAGGUCACUGAAGUGCGUUUCAGCAAUGUCCAACAGUUAACUCAACCAGGAAGUAGAUGUGAUGUUUUUCACUUCACAUAUAACAGAAUCGGUGCAAAAAA